rnacentral:lncRNA from 1 species
CAACAUUCAAGAAUCAUUCGAUCUUCUCAAAUUUUCUACUAAUAUGAAGUUUUUGCAAUGAAUUGUAGAUAUGGAUCGGACUUCAGGUAUCCAAUACUCAGGUAGUAGCAUCACGAUAGAGAAAUUUUAAGGUGUUAUCAUAUAAUUACCUUAUCCAGCAAUCUUUUGUUGAUUUCUUUUUCUAGAUCUGUUUGGAUCAAGGAAAGCUAGAUAUUGUUAGA